rnacentral:lncRNA from 1 species
UGAAGGCUAGGUGGGGACGCAUGUCCUCCUUUUUUUUUUGUUGUCUGUUAUGAGAGAGGGUAAUGAUGAGAGGUGGGAUUUUGGUAUGUGAUGGGGGACAACGUGUAUAUCCCUCCCCAAAAGAAGAUGAUUUCUUUCUUUCUUUUAUCCUUUUCUUUUUCGUUCUUUCCUUUUAUUUUAUAUUUUGGGAGAGAGACCGUUGCUGAGUGUUGAGAGAGGUCACUUAAUUCUUUUUCUUUUUGUUUUUUCGUCCCAUUUGACCGUUAGAGGAGAGAUAGAAAUUUAUGGGAAUUGCCAGUCGUGUACCACCCUUUGAG